rnacentral:lncRNA from 1 species
UAUCGUAGGGUUACUAUACUCUUAUGAGUACAGAGCCCUUCGUACUCAUAAGUUAUUUUCGAUGUUGGGCUUUUCGAUCGACGAUCCAUACCGGUAAAAAUGAUCUAGAGUAUUUGAAACUUCUAGAAAAUAAAUUUCGUAAUUUUCAAAAUCAUUACAAAGUCUAUCAAGCGGGUAUAAAAUGAACGGUUAAAAUCGAAUGACAUCUUAAAAAUGGAUGAUCGGAUCCUUCAAUUUAAGAUCAGAGUUAUUGAUCUUUAUUUAGGUAGUGAAUAGAAUUUU